rnacentral:lncRNA from 1 species
ACACAUGUGUGUGUGUAUUUUCUGUUGAUUACCAAUGCCAACAUAGAAUUCUAUUUUGUAUCAUUAAGUUAAAACAAGUUUUAUUGGUUUGUUCAAUUUGCAUGUGGUGCUGUGGCUUUUUAAUUUUGAUAUAAUGCAACCAUAUGAUUCUAUGGUUUAGUGCUCAGUCUAUUAAAAAAUCACCAGCGUUAUAAAGCAAAUGACUGAACUAUUCUGGUGAAAAUAAUUGGAUGCAAUUGAAGAAAACGUAGAGCUAUUUGAUAACUCCACUUCAAGAAUAAAGAAUUAAUAGAUAUUGAACAUUAGAAGUUAGAGCUUUUUCCUGUUGGUCAAGUUUCAAUUUGAAAACUCCACUUCAAUGCAACAACCUCCCACUUUUGAAAUGAAACAGUAGUUAUGGAGCAGGAAAGGAAGACUGCUUAAUCUUGCAAGUGGCAUUGCAGAUUAGCUUGUUCCUGCGAAAGGGGAAAACAAAAAAAUGAAUCUUCAAACUUAGAAUCAUCUUUGUGAAAUAUCAAAGUGAGCAGCAAUGGUAUGGGUUGGGUGGGUUUUGAGUCAGUUCAAUUUGUUUUAGGUUCAAAAUUGAUGAACCCGUACUUAAUAGUUGUACAAAUUGAUAACUUCAUGAUUUAUGAGGACAUAGAAAUUUUGGAAUACUAAAUGCAUUUUUCUAAAUUAGGAGAGCUAUUACUGGUUAGGCAUUUCUACUGUUUGAAGGACAAACCUGUUAGGAACCAGAUCUGGAUUCCUCAUGCUUUGGUCAAACCAUUCUGUAAUUGUGGGACUGGCCGUUCCUUUUCUUUUUUCCCAGUGUCAGUGGUCAUCAACGAAGAAAAAAUUAUGAAGCUUGUUAGCAGCCUGCUGAAUCAUAGGUUGAAAUAGGGUUGCCUUCGACAUUACUGGAAAAUCUGAUUUUUGUAAGUUAAUGAUAUUCUAGUAGUCUGCCUAGAGACCAGUGCAUACUGAUUAAACAACUGGUUUAAAUCAUUAGGGCAUGAUCAGCCCGUUAUCUGCACUCACACAAUAGGCAGGGAGGCUGUGAGCAAAUCAUAUUCAAUGAUUAGAAAUGUUCAAAAAUUUCAAGAUAAUAAAUAUGCGAGCGUUUCAAUUGGACAUAAGUAUUUUGGUUUCUAGUUCUAAUAGAGAUGUCUCCAAGCUAUAUUCUAGUCACUUUACUAUUCUGAAUCAGAAUCAGAACCAGAAUCAGCGGAUGUUUUUCAUUGUAAACUUUUAAUAGAUCUCUUACUUAUUAUGAUUUUAAUCCAAUGAUUGAACUGGAUAAGAGAGAAGAGCUAGGGUCAAUAGGUUCAAUUGGGCUCCAAAUGGCAAUCAACUCAUGACAUUGCAUGAAAUAUACAACAUGCUUCUUUUGAAAUAUUAUAUAUUUACAAAUUUAGUGCAUAUAUGCUUAUAUUUGUAUAUUUACAAUGCAAUGCAUAUUACUAUCGAGGAGGCAGAAAUUGAACAUAUACAUUCAUAAUGCAAUUUUUGAUAAUUGUACAGAUUUUCUUUUCUGGGUAAUAACAUUCAGGGAAAAGAAAAAUAAAUACAAGGUUAAGACAAUCUAAGACAUGAAGACAGUGAAGCAUGGCUUAGGACAUGGUCAAGUCGUAAAAACUAUGGCUAAGACUAUCUAAUACAUGAACUUGUACUGUAAGCAGGCACAUUGGUACAAAAUUUCCAUAUCAACUAUAUCUAAGUGGAUAUUGUACUAUGUUUAGAGUAUGAAAUUUCCAUAUGAAUUUAUGAUGAACAAGACUUCUAGUUAGUUUAACUUUAGUUUGCAUAUGAUUUUGACACACUAGCUUUAAUCUGAUUAAAAAUAAAACUCAUUCUGUUUCCUAUACAUUUAUCAAAGAAAUUAAACUUAUUAGUAUGUUAACAGUUGAAAAGGCAAUAUCUAGAAACUAUAGAUCAUCAAAUGACCUUCUUUCCUGCAGCUUGAUCUCCAGACAUUAUCAAUUGCAAUCCGUUUCUUUAGGGCAAAAACCCCAGAGAAAAGGGCAGCAGUGGACUUGGACACUCAUUAUUCACAGGUAAACAGAAGUUCAUGUUUUACCUAUUAUUUUGCUAAUUAACUGUGGAUGUCAUUACUUAGGAAUUGGAACUUCAAACAAUGUUCUAGUAACAAUUCUUUCUCCACUAGUUUUUCUCAUCCUUUUAAUAUUGAAAGGGAUGGGAAUGGUGUAAAGAUGAUUGUGUUUGUGGUAAGAUUCCUUUCAGACUAAUUACUAUUUGUGACAUGGGGUGCAGGAAUAUCUUGAAGAAUAUGUUGGAUCUUCUACUAGAAGAGCAAUUUUAUAUCAAGUAAGAACUCUUGUUUUCUAGAUGAUCAUAUAAUUUUAACAAACCUGUUUCCCUUGAAUUUGGAGUAAGAUACUGUUAUUCUUUAUAUCUCUGGACUUUUCAGGUUGGGGUGUCAUUUUGGUAGUCACCUAUCUGUUCAAAAUUAAGCAUCCUACAAAUCAAGGGUGAUAAAGCUAUCUAAGUCAAGUGAAAUGGUCAAUUAUUCAGUUUUUGGUCUGUUGUCUACAAAAUUAUGUUUUAGUUUUGCUUGCUAUCUGGCUUUUGGCAUGUAGCGUCAAGAGGCUGUAGUUAGAUAACGAAGUAUUUGGUUGAGUAUUUCGAGAUUUUUCUUUUUCAAGGUUUGCUUUUUCACUGGCACCCUCGAUGGAAUCGAUAUCAGUUGAUUGAUUCAGUUGGGCCUGACAGUCUUAGGCUUUCUUUUGGUAAUGGAUAUUUAUUUUAAGAUAAUCAUUGUAGUUUCCUUAACUCGUUACAACAUUGACAAUAUUUAAAGUUCUUAUUUUAUAUAUACCUAUUUUCAAGGAAAAUGCCGAUAGCUUGACCUCAAAUAUGUUACUCACAGGAAUAUGUAAAAGGUAUAUCAGCAACUGGGAUGCAGUCUAAUUAUGGUUUUGAUGGUCAAAUCCAUGCCUGCUGGAUGCAUAAAAUGACACAAAAAGACAUUCAAACCAUUCGUUCAGCUGGAUUUCUUGUGUCAGUGAUUCAUGGCAGGUACAUGAGCAACCAUAAUGCACAUGAACAUAGUCAUAUAAUUUUGUCUAAAUUUAUAUUAUUAAAGUGACAUGCUUUAUGAUUUUAUUAUUCUAAGAUACUUGUAAAGGAAUAUGCAUAGGGCAUACAGGAGUGACAAUUUGUUGCAAAAUUAAACUUCAUUUCUCAAAUAUCAUUUAGAUGAGUUGAAGUCUGCAAAAUGUUUCUUUAUUAUUAUCAAACUGUUUCACGAAUUAAUAAACUAUAUAAUGUCAAUUAUCAUAAAAGAAAACAAUAUGCUUAUAUAUUCUGGGAUUCUGUAGAUAUAAUGUUAUGAGAUAGGCUCCAAAUACUGAUAGGAAAUUAAAACUGGGUUCUUCAUGAAAAAAUAAUAAAAUAAAAAAAUUGGGAAAAAUUACCUGAAACGGAAGUCCGUGCUGUGCUUUACAGUAAAUUGUCAAAGUUUGCAAUCAACCUGCAUUAACAAGGGAGAUGACAGUAUUUGGCAAGAAUUUGGUAUUUUCGGAGUGAAGAGUAUUAGUUUUGUUUCAAUGCUUUUCUUAAUCUCAGACGAUCAAGAGAAUUGUUGUUUCAUUCAUGCACAGACAAGCACAAAGUGAAAACAAAUGUAUACGCAUGCAAACUUGGAAAUAGGUUAAGAUACAUAGAACUUAGAAGGUCGUGCAGGAGCUGGUUAAUAUUUUGGGCAUUUCUAGUAGUGAUACAUGGAUAACUGAAUGUUACAUAACUGAAUUUGAGCAAAAAUAUUAAUUCGCUCCACUGAAUGAUAGGCAUGAUGUCAUUGCACAAAUCUGUUAUGCAAGGAGACUAGCAGAGAAGCUGUACCCUGUUGCUAGAAUGAUAGAUCUUCCUGGAGGACAUCUUGUAAGUCAUGAGAGGACAGAAGAGGUAUUUCCUUUGCCCAACAGAUCGGACAAAUAUGCAAGUAGUCCAAUUGGUUUUGUGAGACAUUUACAAUUAAUGAAUUAUUAAAUGGAGUACAGUUGUGCAAACUAAUUGGGAAAGUUUUCUUAUCAAAGUCAGUAAAAAAUUGUCAUAAUUGAAUUUGAUUGAGACAGAAGGGUCCUUACAAUUGUAAUUAUGGACAAACUAUCUUAAUCUUCCUAAUAUUGAGGAUUGAUCUUGAGUGACUCAAGAUUUUUGAACAACUGGGAUUGAAUUAGAUCUUCACGCGUAAAAUAAUGUUAUGAAUUUAUUGGUAGAAAGAUGUCACAAUGCUUCUUGAAGUUUUACUUUCCUAAAUUACUAAUAUUUGUUUAAUUUUACUUGGCUACAAAUUAAGCUUAUACACAUUAAACUCUUUCUUGAAAUUUCAGGUCAAUCAAGCUCUCAUUGACUUGAUCAAGGCAUCUGAAAAGAAGAUAAGCCCGCAGGAUUGGACUAAUCUGCCCCAGACAAGUUCUGGUAAGCAUGCCACAAUCAAGAUAGUCUUUCUCUUUUCCAUGUUAUGUGUGGGCAAUAAUGUUAGAGCAUACUUGCCUAACAUGGGUUGAAGCUUUUCAUACUGAGUUGUCUGUGAAGAUAAACUUGUGGUUAAUCCAUAGAGUUCCCAUGUUUCCAAUAAUAUGUUCAUGGAUUUGGAAACCUAAGAGUUCCAGAAGGACACAUGAUAACUACUUAAAAGAGCUCAAAUCAACACUGAAGCUUUUUCCAGACACAAAAAUCAUCGGUGGUCAACUUGUUUUCAGCUAGGUUAUCUUCCUCUCUGUCUGGUUAGGAUUGAGAGGGAGACAAUUAGCAAUUUUGAUGUUUCUACAUCAGAACUCUGUUUUCAGUCUUUGACAUUUUCUGCUGAUAUUUUCAGUUCUUUGUCAGGGGUUUUGGCGAAAGGGAUGUCAUUUGUAAGAACAAGUUCGGGACCAAGAAGCUAUGUUUCAGGCCCACUAGAGAAGCUACAUCUGUAUCUAUUAUACCUCUGUGGCCUCUUCUUGUUAGCAUUUGAGUAUGCGAGAAGGCUUCUACAGAGUCUAAAACCAGUUAGAGUGCGAGCCUCUCCCACUUCAGCCAGCAUGCAGUGAACCCUCUUUUUUACUGGUAAUUUUCAGUUUGCUUCCCAAUCUUUCUUGUAGAACAAAAACAACUAGCUAGAAAACAAUACAUAAUAUCCUCACUGUUUCUAUCCCUUCUUUUUGCAGGGUUUCACUAAUUUGUCGCGCUAAUGGCGUGGCACUUUGUGUUUUAAGCAGUUUGCUUACAGGAUUCUUGAGUAAAUCUACUAAAAGUUAUACAAAAGAUAAUAAAUAAACCCGAAUUUGCUGUGGGAGAUAUCAGAACAACCGAUACAACAAAGCAAAUUAGUCAUAUGCAUAUGGAAGGGAAAGAAUAAACUGGAGACGGCCUUUGCUUUUUCACUAUCAAAAAAUUAUGCUAACAGAUAUACCACUAUACCGAUCUCUCUUGCAGCACAAACACAAUGAAAACAACUCGCAAGGAGGGAAUCCUGUUUUUGCAUCUAAGGCAGUAAAUAUUGCUGCUUAUAUUAUUUUUAUUUUCAACACUUGUCAGUUAUAUAUUAUCAAAGAUUAGAAACUCGACUUACAACAGCAAGGGAAAAAUGUUAGUAAAAUAAUGGAAUUUGAGCCAGAUUGCAGUACAGUCUGUGUUAUAAAUGUCAAAACCCAACAGAGGAAUGACUAUUAAGGGCCAGAUUGGUUGACAUUUGAUGUGGCUUCUAAAAUAAUCGACUUGAGCUUUGCUAGACACAUGAUUAUUUAUGAGAUAAUGAAGGUAACAUCAAAUCACUUUUAAAAGAUUUUAUUAAUCACUUAAAAGAGUCUUUGGUGUAGUGGUUGGUUUGUUGUUCUAAUAAGUGACAUGUUUAAGGUUUUGUGACGACUCAAAAUAUUUUUUUAGAUAUAUUCCUCCAUAUAAAUAGGAUUUGAUUUCCAAUUUGAAUUUCUCACGACCAAAUUCACGGAUGAGAGUUGAACAAAAAAUCUCAUUUAACACCAUCUGUCAAUUUGGUUUGGGAAUGCUAUUUUCAAAAUGACUGUAGGUGUUAAAUAGGUUUUAUUAUUGAAAUUAAUGACCUUGAUAGACAUAAAUUUAAAAUAUAUACAAAAAAUUUUUAUGUCAAUUUUCAAUUAUAGUUUCUCUAAGAACUAUUUAAAAAAAAUGAAGACACAGUAAAAUAAUGCUUUAUUAGGAAAAACUUUAAAUUUAGUCAUCUUAAGAAACCCGGCUCUACAUAGUCAUAAUUAUUUGUGCAUUACAAGAGUAUAUGUUAUGUUAGAUUAAAUGAACUUACUUCCACAUAAUACAAUUACACAAUGAGAGCAAUUUAUUAAAGAGAAUGUAAACAUUUAGAGAUUUUUAAGAUGACUUUACAUAUAUUCUAACAAUGGUACAUAGAUAAUAGAUAUAUUGGAUUUGACACGUUCCAUUAGUAAAUUAUUAAUACAGUGUGUAUUUUACCUCUAUCCCUUGGUAAUAAAGAUAAUUAAGUCAAAAAAAUAAUUUUUGUAACUCCACUUCUAUUGAGUUGUAAUCCCCUCAUAGUAACAAAUUAAUUUGGUUUCAAUAUUACGAAUGUAGAGAGGUUUCACUAUAAUAUUUUUGAAAUGUAAGAAAAAAAAGAUAAAAAAGUAAUAAUAGAAGUUGUGCUAGUUUGUUUUGAUUUUUUUUUUUUUAAAGAAAACAGCUUAAAACAAUAAAAAGAUGUUUCUCACUGCAAGAAAUAAGUUUUUUAGAAACAUCUAAACAAAACGUUCUAUAAUUUUUGAAAAUAGAAAACAGAAACUGUGGUAACAUUUAUAUUAUUCCUUCAAAAUCCGCAGUGAUCCUGGACAUACCGUAAUGUAAGUUGAUACUUGAUCGUCAUCACUUUUCACUUUCACAUGAUCAAUUCUAGAAACCCUAAAAUAUAAAUACUUGUAAUUAUUAAACAAAACAACAAAAACAACAAGAAGAAGAAACGAAAAAUGUAAAGAACGUACCUGGAUUUGCUUGGGAGCUGCAGAAGUUAGCUUGUGUUGUGAUUGGGAAGGCGAAUGAACGAUUGAUUGAUUGAUUGCUUGAUGAAAGCAAAAAGCAGAGCAAAAACAUCGAAAUGGAAAUUGUAAGUUGAAAUGUUUUUCUAGAGAGAGAGAGAGAGAGAGAGAGAGAUUCUAAAAUAACUAAUUGCGUUGGUGCCAAGUAAUAUUCCAAAUUAAGCAAUCAAAGAUUCGAAACUAAUGAUGCCAAUCCAAUUACCAAAUAUACCCCUUAGGAAUAUCCCAAUAUGAUCCUCUAGUUAGUAUGCGCGAUGCAGAACCAAACAA